rnacentral:rRNA from 1 species
UACGUAGGGUGCGAGCGUUAAUCGGAAUUACUGGGCGUAAAGCGUGCGCAGGCGGUUUUGUAAGCCAGAUGUGAAAUCCCCGGGCUCAACCUGGGAAUGGCAUUUGGGACUGCAAGGCUGGAGUGCGGCAGAGGAGACUGGAAUUCCUGGUGUAGCAGUGAAAUGCGUAGAUAUCAGGAGGAAUACCGAUGGCGAAGGCAGGUCUCUGGGCUGACACUGACGCUCAUGCACGAAAGCGUGGGGGAGCAAACAGG